rnacentral:rRNA from 1 species
AUACAGAGGGUGCAAGCGUUAAUCGGAAUUACUGGGCGUAAAGCGCGCGUAGGCGGUUUAAUCAGUCGGAUGUGAAAGCCCCGGGCUCAACCUGGGAACUGCAUUCGAUACUGUUAAGCUAGAGUAUGGUAGAGGGAAGUGGAAUCCCAGGUGUAGCGGUGAAGUGCGUAGAUAUCUGGAGGAACAUCAGUGGCGAAGGCGACUUCCUGGACCAAUACUGACGCUGAGGUGCGAAAGCGUGGGGAGCAAACAGGAUUAGAAACCCUAGUAGUCC